rnacentral:rRNA from 1 species
UACGUAGGCAGCAAGCGUUGUUCGGAGUUACUGGGCGUAAAGGGUGUGUAGGCGGUUUUCCAAGUUUGGUGUGAAAUCUCCCGGCUUAACCGGGAGGGUGCGCCGAAAACUGGCAGACUAGAGUGUGGGAGGGGAAAGUGGAAUUCCUGGUGUAGCGGUGAAAUGCGUAGAUAUCGGGAAGAACACCCGUGGCGAAGGCGAUUCUCUGGGACGGUACUGACGCUGAGACGCGAAAGCGUGGGGAGCGAACAGG